UUUGCUUCUUGGCCUUUUGGCUAAGAUCAAGUGUAGUAUCUGUUCUUAUCAGUUUAAUUUUUGUUUCUCAUUAUUAAAAUACAAUCUAUAUAAGAAAUUUCU
rnacentral:snRNA from 1 species